UAGAUUUAAAGUGAAAGGAAGAUAAGGGGGGGGAAAGUAGGUUUACCUCCGAAGUCUAAAUGUACAGUAUCUCUACAGCAAGAGUUUUAGAAGGACGUGUAUAAACAUGAACUUCAUCCGAAAACAGGCUGGCAAAGAAAUGAGGAAAAGAAAGGUAAGCAUAUGAAGAUGUCCAGCUUGGCUGGGGGAAAACACAAAAGAUCCUUCGAUCUACCUUGUUUGGAUGCCCUUCGCCGAAUCUUCAUUUUGGGGAAGGAAGGCCAGGAGUAGUUAAAAGAUUCAACCUUUUAAAAGGAAUUUGCAAGACAGUGACUGAUCAAGCUGCCUGAAGCUUUGCUGAUACGGAGGGUUCCUGCAUCCCUGCUUGGAGUUGGGAUUCCAGUACUGCAGGUGUGAGAGCUGCCUUGGCUUCAGUAAACCUGAAGAAACCAACUGGGAAGGUGAGUGCACAUCUGCAUCCCACUGGACCAUCCAGGAGCCAUAACUGGUAUCUGCUGGUUGUCCAAGCCAUGUCUCCAGUAGCUUCAUAUUACACUCUACUUGCCUCUAAAUAACUCAAGGGAUAAGUCUGGGGCCCAAGUGAACCUUGAAGAGAUAUAAAAUACAUGGGGAGGAAAUUUAGAAAGGUGCCCUAGGACCUUUUGAGCAGAUGAGAAUUCUCAGGUCUACAGAAAGAGUGAAGAGUGACGUCCAUCCUGCUGAGGGAGUUCUUGAUCCCUCCAAAAGGACACUCCCAUCAGCCGCACCCCCCUCCCAGCACACAUCUGGCCUUUUCCUGAGGCCAGACGGGUAGAUCUCAUAGGUUCAGCUCCACAGAGACACGUGGUUAUCAGUGUAGGACAGCGGUACACUUGAGAACGCUUGGGCCCGGCAGAAUGACGUUCCCAGUUUCAAUUCCACUGUUCACCUUCCACCAGUGGCUCAGUUGCUUUCCUGAAAUGAAUCUGGCAGUGCCUCUUCAUAGGAAUUACAAGGUAACCAUGACAAACUUCAAGCCAGCAUUUGGCAAGAAAAAGCUCUGAUGACUUGGUUGUUUUUUUAGAUUUUAAAUGGAAUCCUGUCCCUAAAGUCAUAAUAUUAUGACUGAUGCUUCAAAGAAACUUUGCCUGGAUAGGUUUUAAAAAGUAGACAAGGUUUCCAGGAAGGAAUAUUUUCUUCUUGUCCACAGUAUACCUGGUCUGUGAUAUCCUCAUAAGUGCAGGAAAAGCAAUAUUUUGGAACAUACCCAAAUCUAGGUUCUCCUGGUCCUCAUGUUCACUCGGUUGAACCUCCAGGCUUUUGACACACUAAGAAAGAUAAAGUC